UGCAGUCUUGUGGCCAAGGGUGACCCGCUGAAUGUAGAUGCAGGUGCAACACACACACACACACACACCCCGUGUUUUCGAAGUGGCAGUUCUUUACCUAAUUUAAAAAAAAAAGAUUUUGCAAACUAGAUUCUACUUUGAAACCACUGAGUCAGGAUAUGUUUUUAUAUAAUAAUUUAAACCACAGAAACAUGAAGAGAGGAACCAGGAAACAGUAUAUCCCCUGGGGAUAGGAAGCAAUUGAACAAGCAGCAGCUAGCUGGUUGCCAAGAAGAAAAUGCUUCAAAAAGGGCAUUGCUUUUUCCAGUUUACACUAGGCUUUUCUAAUGCAUCCAUCACUGUAUUUAGGUGCCAAAUACAAAUUUAUCCACAAAGGACCCUGUUCUUCCUCCACUUCUUGGUCCAGCUACUGGUGCUUAGAAAAAUAUAUUCCCCCAUGCCAUCAACAAUCUUUCCAUUAGAAAACGUAUGUAAGUUAUCAGAAAGAAAAAAAUUGGGAAGUGAUGGGUUUGAGGUCAUGCACUGAAAACAUGCAGAUUCAUUCUGACCUGUUGUGAGCAAUUCCACUGUUAAAAGCUCUCACCCAAAAGCCAGAUGGUCCCUGUCAGCUUGUAGCAGGCCUCAGCACAGGAAUUGUAACUAACUUCAGUAUUUUUAAUUGGUUCUGUUAUUUUCUUCACAGCAGAAAAUAGCUAUCAAGAUACCUAUCACAAUGUAAAAUCCUUGUAACAACCAGGCAAGGUUGGUUUUCCUCAACAUAGCCAGUCCAGGUGAACUCUCAGUGGGAGGGGCUGGGGUAGGCUUUUUCUCAACUAGCUAUCUUGGUAAAAACUAAAUUGUCUGAUCUCUAGGAUUUACAUUGCAAUAGAUACCUUGAUGUAAAAAAUCACUUUUGCAGUGAAGACACAGCCUCUGGUAUGAUAGCAUAAACCCUCUGUGUAUGUGAGCACAUGGGGAAAACACUUUAAACUGGUUUAAAACCGUAUUAUAGCAAUCUAAUUCGUUCAAUUACUAUAUAAACCAGCUUAAGACAAUAACUGACUGAACUAAGCUAAAUCAAUAUAAACUAGUUAUAAGCCAGCUUCAUUGUGUUCACACAGGAAUUUUCACUGUUUUAGCUCAGUUUAAAUAUUGAUUUUAGUUAAAUCAAUGCAAUUUGUGUUUAAAUGGCUAAAGUCUCUAGCAACAAACUGAAUAAGAGGUUUUGGAUAAAGUUUAAAAGAUGUAAACAUUCCUACAAAAAGUUUUCCCCCUCCAGAAAUCUCUGCUGGGAAUCCAUACUCUUCCCAGUGAUCAAAGUUUCAUGUUAAAAUUCAAAUUAAAGAAAAAAAUCUUUUCAAGGUUCAACAAUGAAAUAACAUUUUCUUAUCACCAGACUACCAACAGCUCCAACUCCCUACACAUGAUCUCCUAGAGGAAGGAAAGCAGGCAGUAUUUAUAUUUUGCCCCGUUUCGUGGCUGAGAGAGGAGGUGUUUCGCCCACCCACUUCCUGGAUCCCAAUAAGAUUAAAGGCUAUGGUACUAAGUCCUGGAUAGCAUUAUUAGCCUGGGUUCUACCACUGCUAUAUUGGGACCACUUGCUCGCUCUCUCUCUCUCUUUGUUUGCUUUAUGCACUGGGGCUGCACUUGCAAGAAGAAAACCUGGAAUAGGGUAGCAUAGCAUAGGACAGUGGUUCUCAAACUAUGGGGUGGGUCUCCUCUAUCGCCUCCUAUUGCUGAGAUAACAUUGCUUCCUCCUUGGUGUGCAGGUUAGUGAUCUAUCCCCUCAAUUAGAGGAAAAGCUAGCUCCCACCCUUCUGCAAAUCAGCUCUGAACUGAACCAGGUUCUCUCCUUUUCUUCCCCCUCCAUGCCUGGCAUUGGCUGCAGGUAUAACGGGGUUGGGCUAGAUGGACCCAAAGAUUCUCUUUAACCCUUGCUGCGCUGGCUGGCUCUGCUUCAUCAUAAGCACCAUUUGCAAACAAUUAUUUUUUUAUUAAAGACCUACAUGAUCUUCCUUCCAGCCAUUAGCAGAGUACCAGAACUCUGUUGCAUAACCAAUACAAUUUUGGGAUAAAAACAAUGCUUAGUAAAUCUCAGGUCUGUGAUGGGGUGUAUCAACCCCACACUGGUGAGGCAAGGGUUAAGAAGCUGCUCUGCCUGCAGGACGCCACACCCCCUUGCCCUUGCGGGACAUGUUCCUGGUGGUGAGAACAUUCAAAAGGGAGCAGCUCAGUAUACAGGCUGACUGAGAAGGAGAGCAAGUGGGGGAAACAGCUGCUGGGCUUUAGCUACCUAGCCAAACAGCUGGAAGUCCAUUGAUUGACUGUGUUAGCUAAGAGUGAUGACUCACUGUCUCUGAGAGAAGGGGCGCUGCAGAUGAACCUGCUGGCAGGAAACCAGGAGGGGUCUGAGACCAAGUUGUGAGACAAACACAGAUACUUUUCAAAGUUGCUGGAGCCUACCUGUGACUACAACUUUCUAGAGACCAGGAUUGUUUUCUCUUCUUCCCCUGUCACCCAAAUAAAAGUAAAUACAGAAGUGAGUCUCCUUAUCUACCUGAUCUGGUCCUGGUUUGAGGGAGAAGAGAUGCUGCGCAUGGGAAAGGGUGAUGCUGCACAAUGGAAGAAUUCAAAAUGGAUAGGAAGUCCUCAGACACUUGGGGUAGGGGGAGGUAAAGAUUUCAACUGGAAUUAGGUGUAAUGUUUCUCUGACUUCCACUACAACUGCUCUAUGUAAUAAUCAUAAGUUUCAAUUAGG